GCAAAACAGCUAGCCUAACCACAAUAAAACAAAUGACCAACCAUAAA
rnacentral:rRNA from 1 species